UACGGAGGGGCUAGCGUUGUUCGGAAUUACUGGGCGUAAGGCGCACGUAGGCGGCUUUGUAAGUUAGAGGUGAAAGCCCGGGGCUCAACUCCGGAAUUGCCUUUAAGACUGCAUCGCUAGAAUUGUGGAGAGGUAAGUGGAAUUCCGAGUGUAGAGGUGAAAUUCGUAGAUAUUCGGAAGAACACCAGUGGCGAAGGCGACUUACUGGACACAUAUUGACGCUGAGGUGCGAAAGCGUGGGGAGCAAACAGGG
rnacentral:rRNA from 1 species